AGAGUUUGAUCCUGGCUCAGGAUGAACGCUAGCGACAGGCUUAACACAUGCAAGUCGAGGGGCAGCGGGGGCGUAGCAAUAUGCCUGCCGGCGACCGGCGCACGGGUGAGUAACACGUAUGUAACCUGCCCUAUGCAGGGGGAUAACCCGGAGAAAUCCGGCCUAAUACCGCGUAACACCUUAGGGGAGCAUUCUCUUGAGGUUAAAGGAGAGAUCCGGCAUAGGAUGGACAUGCGUCGCAUUAGGUAGACGGCGGGGUAACGGCCCACCGUGCCGACGAUGCGUAGGGGUUCUGAGAGGAAGGCCCCCCACACUGGUACUGAGACACGGACCAGACUCCUACGGGAGGCAGCAGUGAGGAAUAUUGGUCAAUGGCCGAGAGGCUGAACCAGCCAAGUCGCGUGAGGGAAGAAUGUCCUAAGGAUUGUAAACCUCUUUUGUCGGGGAGCAAAAAGGCUCUGCGGAGUCGUAUUGAGAGUACCCGAAGAAAAAGCAUCGGCUAACUCCGUGCCAGCAGCCGCGGUAAUACGGAGGAUGCGAGCGUUAUCCGGAUUUAUUGGGUUUAAAGGGUGCGCAGGCGGCGUGUCAAGCAAGCGGUAAAAUAGCGGGGCUCAACCCCGUCGAGCCGUUUGAACUGGCGCGCUUGAGUUCAGGCGAGGUAGGCGGAAUUCGUGGUGUAGCGGUGAAAUGCAUAGAUAUCACGAAGAACUCCGAUUGCGAAGGCAGCUUACCAGUCUGCGACUGACGCUCAGGCACGAAAGUGUGGGUAUCGAACAGGAUUAGAUACCCUGGUAGUCCACACAGUAAACGAUGAGCGCUAGGUGUCCGGGUCGCAUGAGACUUGGGUGCCCGAGAGAAAGCGUUAAGCGCUCCACCUGGGGAGUACGCCGGCAACGGUGAAACUCAAAGGAAUUGACGGGGGCCCGCACAAGCGGAGGAACAUGUGGUUUAAUUCGAUGAUACGCGAGGAACCUUACCCGGGCUCAAACGACUCAGGAAUAUAUUGGAAACGAUGUAGCCAGCAAUGGUCUGAGUCGAGGUGCUGCAUGGUUGUCGUCAGCUCGUGCCGUGAGGUGUCGGCUUAAGUGCCAUAACGAGCGCAACCCCUACCGCCAGUUGCCAACGGGUAAAGCCGGGAACUCUGGCGGGACUGCCGGCGCAAGCUGCGAGGAAGGUGGGGAUGACGUCAAAUCAGCACGGCCCUUACGUCCGGGGCGACACACGUGUUACAAUGGCAGGUACAGCGGGAAGCCACCUGGUGACAGGGAGCGGAACCCGAAAGCCUGUCUCAGUUCGGAUUGGAGUCUGCAACUCGACUCCAUGAAGCUGGAUUCGCUAGUAAUCGCGCAUCAGCCAUGGCGCGGUGAAUACGUUCCCGGGCCUUGCACACACCGCCCGUCA
rnacentral:rRNA from 1 species